UACGUAGGUGGCGAGCGUUGUCCGGAUUUACUGGGCGUAAAGGGCUUGUAGGCGGUCCGCUAAGUCUGGUGUGAAAUCUCCCGGCUCAACUGGGAGGGGUCAUCGGAUACUGGCGGACUUGAGGGGGGGUAGAGGAAAGCAGAAUUCCUGGUGUAGCGGUGAAAUGCGUAGAUAUCCGGAGGAACACCGGUGGCGAAGGCGGCUUCCUGGACCGACACUGACGCUGAGGCGCGAAAGCUAGGGGAGCAAACGGG
rnacentral:rRNA from 1 species